AUUUCAGCUUUGAAGAUUCUCUGUUUGACUUUGGCUGUGGUCAUCUGAUUUUGAUAAGCCUACAUUUGGAUAUUUUUCAGAUAAUUGCACUUGGGAGAUCAUUGAACUUUUUGAUUGUGUGAUUUAGUGUUUCUCUUUAAAAUGAAAUUUGAGAGCAAGAAUAUGGAGUUGGGGAUAUCCCACUCAUCUCCUUCCAAAGAAACAAGCAUUUGGCAGCCUUUCACAGAAAAAAAGCACAGUUGUGAGUGCACUGGAAUUCAGGUCAGAGGUAGCAAACCUCAGGAUAGCCCAAGAAUGAAGACGGCUGCUUUAAAUACUUAUUAUAUUGGGUAAUGACAGAAGAAAGCCACUGUACUAGAAAGGGCGUAGCCCAGACUUGCUGUAAGAGGGUGAUUUAUGCACCAGUCCAUAGGCUGACACUGAUGACCAAGGACACCUGGGGCUGAGCUGUACACCCAGGGAAGCAGGGCCCAGGCAGCCUGCCAUGAGAUCGUGCUCCAAGGACCGGCCGUUCUGCUGGACCCACGGGCUCCUGGUAUUCAUCAGCCUGCUCCUCAGUGUCUGCAGCUCUGCAGCCAACACUUCCGGAGCGCAUGGCUCUGCUGUGAAGGAUUCUGAAAACCACAUUUAUCUGAAGCGCAUCCGAGGAGGUUCUGUCUUGUUUAAUGUGACCGAGAAGCCCAUGGCAGAUGCAGGAGCCAAAAUACAGGAGGUUUUAUGGGGUUUGGGCACUCCGUCAAAGUACAUGCGGCUGCUGCAAGUCCGUAGAGGAGCCGACUCUCCCACCUGGUUUAACCUCCAGGACAAGUUCAAGCAGAGGGUCCAUGUGCCCAGCCUGUGGUCUCUGAGGAUUGAGAACCUGGCCCCUGAAGACAGUGGGCCAUACGUGGCCAUGACCAGCUUAACUGAUGGACAAACGCUUGGUCACGUUUUCUACCUGACUGUCUAUGAGCCUGUGCCUCACCCUGAGAUCCUGGCCAAGUCACUGUCUAUCACACCAGGCCUGUGUAACAUCACUCUGGAGUGUAGGGUUCCAGGGGCCACCCAGGAUCUGAAUGUGACUUGGGAGAGCAAGGGCCUCUUCAGAGAGCUGGAACAGAGAGACACACCAGGAUCAACCGCCAAGCUUUGGACCCUGGCUGUGAGCCUGCCCCUGAGCCAGCAGAUUGGCGAUGUCACCUGUGUGGUCAGCAACCAGGUGGAUCAGAAAGCUGCGACCUUAGACCUUGGAAAAGUCUGUGCCCAAGGAACAAGUACACAAAAACAGGACAUGAUUAGACUGCUGCCAGGCAUCCUAGCAGCUGCUGUGGGUGUCCCGUUGGUCCUGGGAACUGGGUUGUUCCUUUUGAAGACAUGUCAGAAGAAGAAGAAGACAACAAUGGAAAUAAAAAGGGGUGGAGGAUUGCAGAAGAACCAUGGGGUUGAUGAUGGUGGCAUCUCCUUUGAGACGCUCAGCCAGCAAGUGUCUCGGAAGGGCAAGGGCAAGAGCAUCGGUGAACAAUAUCUGGGAAAAAAGGAAUCUCUCAUUACUACCUGCAGUGAGGUCUGUUAUCCAGACCAGACGAUGGAGAUCAUUUGAUUGGAGGAAGCAGGAGGAUCUGGCACUCCCAGGACACCUGCACUCUGAGCCUAAGUCCUGCAGACCCCUGCCUUUCCCAGCUCUGAUUCAGUUCCAGCUUCCCCUUGUGUGUGUUGAAUUGUCAGAGGCUGCAGUAAAUGUACUCCCUUGGAGAGGCAUCGCUGCCAACAUUUCUGAAAGGCUAUGUCAGUACCAGUGGGGCCCCUGCAACAAUACUUGCCAUCCAGCCUGGACUUUCUUGGACCAAAUCAAUCAAUCUAUCUUUGCCAAAAUCAGAUGAAAUGUCAACUCCAACCUUGCCUUGCAUCAAAAGCCUUGGUAUCCUGCCCAAUAUGCCUGAAACGGCAUAUACUGGGAGACUACUGUGCUGGUAGCUGGUCUCCAUAUAGCUCCCCUUUGUUUGGAGACUUUAAAUGGCUACGCUAAUGCCACUCUGGGGUUUCCCCCACCAGACAAUUGUCAACACAUACUCCAAAUCAAUAACACUACCCCCAACGAAACACAGUCUCUUUCCUACUUCAAUAGCACCUUAUACACUCUAAUUAUAGUGAAACCAUUGCUAUCCCCUGGGGGCCCUCUGGCUAUGCAGAUCCUGUGGGUGGUGAUACCUGCCUCCACAUUGGACAGGGACAUGCACUGAGGGUGGCCAUUAAUUUUAUUCAUGGUCUGGGAUAAUAUUCCCCUCCCCAGUAAUCUAGAUGCUUGCAAACCUCACUGGUUAUGAAUGUGCCAGACUCUUUUUUGGUGGGACCCUAUCACAGCAUUCUUUCCCUGCCACUGGUACAAUCCUGUUUCAGCAACAAAUUAAAAUAGUAAGCUUAUAUGUAGUAAAAGCUCUUAAUGAUAGUAGCACUAAACUUGUGUUGUCGUUGGAUGAAUUUGCUCAGCUGCAUACUGUUGCAUUGCAAAAUCGAAUGGAAUUAGAUACGUUUACCGCAGUCUGAGGAGGGGUUUGCACCUUACUGUAUACUGAAUAUUGUAUGUAUAUCCCUGACAAUUCUCACAAUAUUACCCUUCUUGCCCAAGACAUGCAAAAACAAGUAAAACAGUCAGAAUCUAACCAUCAGCAUCCCAUCAUGGACUGACUGUCCAGCUGGCAUUGGCACUGGCCAUGGUAGGUGUGGAUUUUAUUAAUUAUGCUUUUAAUUUUCCUAUGCUUGUCCUGUAUGUGUAACCUAUAUCAACUAUGUAUUCCUGGUUUAUCUGUAAGGUAUUUUCCUUAUAACUGAGUACUAAAUUGAGGCCAAAUGUGGAGCAGAAGUUAAAUAUUAAAUUUAAACUCAAUUGAACAUGGACACAAACCAGAUAACUUCUAAUCUUAUGGCCUUGGGCAGUCUAGUCUACAGACAUGAAGGAAGUUUGUUUGGGAAAAAAAUAUUGAAGAAUAAUUUAUAGAAAAAAGAACUGUAUAUGGUAAAUUCUUAUCCUAAAAGUAAUUAACUGAUUUUUUUUUUUGAGACGGAGUUUUGCUCUUGUUACCCAGGCUGGAGUGCAAUGGCGCGAUCUCGGCUCACCACAACCUCCGCCUCCUGGUUUCCGGCAGUUCUCCUGCCUCAGCCUUCUGAGUAGCUGGGAUUACAGGCACGUGCCACCAUGCCCAGCUAAUUUGUUUUUUUUUUUUUUGUAUUUUCAGUAGAGAUGGGGUUUCACCAUGUUGACCAGGAUGGUCUCAAUCUCUUGACCUCAUGAUCCACCUGCCUCGGCCUCUCAAAGUGCUGGGAUGACAGGUGUGAGCCACCGCGCCCAGCCUAAUUACCUGAUUUAUUAAAAAAAAUAUACUUACAAGUCAGAAAGUUGAAGCUUGUCAAAAAUUGUCUGUAAAAGUCAUAAAAAUUUUGUAAAAAACUUUAUGCAAGAAAUGUUGUACAAUUUAAUUGUAAAAUAAAUUCUGUGUAUAAACAUAUUGGCUAAAGUUG
rnacentral:lncRNA from 13 species